rnacentral:misc_RNA from 1 species
UCCGGUUUGUCACCGGCAGUCUCGUUAAAGUGCCCAACUAAAUGAUGGCAAUUAACGACAAGGGUUGCGCUCGUUGCGGGACUUAACCCAACAUCUCACGACACGAGCUGACGACAGCCAUGCAGCACCUGUGUCCAGGCUCUCUUUCGAGCACUCCCACGUCUCUGCGGGAUUCCUGGCAUGUCAAGGGUAGGUAAGGUUUUUCGCGUUGCAUCGAAUUAAUCCACAUCAUCCACCGCUUGUGCGGGUCCCCGUCAAUUCCUUUGAGUUUUAGUCUUGCGGCCGUACUCCCCAGGCGGGGUGCUUAAUGCGUUAGCUUCGGCACGGACGGAGUCGAUAUCCGCCCACACCUAGCACCCAACGUUUACGGCUAGGACUAC